AGUCGAGGGGUAUGGUAGCAAUACCAGAGACCGGCGCACGGGUGCGUAACGCGUAUGCAAUCUACCUUUUACAGAGGGAUAGCCCAGAGAAAUUUGGAUUAAUACCUCAUAGUAUUACGACCCGGCAUCGGGAUGUAAUUAAAGUCACAACGGUAAAAGAUGAGCAUGCGUCCCAUUAGCUAGAUGGUAAGGUAACGGCUUACCAUGGCAACGAUGGGUAGGGGUCCUGAGAGGGAGAUCCCCCACACUGGUACUGAGACACGGACCAGACUCCUACGGGAGGCAGCAGUGAGGAAUAUUGGACAAUGGGCGCAAGCCUGAUCCAGCCAUGCCGCGUGCAGGAUGACGGUCCUAUGGAUUGUAAACUGCUUUUGCACAGGAAGAAACAACGCUACGUGUAGCGUCUUGACGGUACUGUGAGAAUAAGGAUCGGCUAACUCCGUGCCAGCAGCCGCGGUAAUACGGAGGAUCCAAGCGUUAUCCGGAAUCAUUGGGUUUAAAGGGUCCGUAGGCGGUUUGGUAAGUCAGUGGUGAAAGCCCAUCGCUCAACGGUGGAACGGCCAUUGAUACUGCCAGACUUGAAUUAUUAGGAAGUAACUAGAAUAUGUAGUGUAGCGGUGAAAUGCUUAGAGAUUACAUGGAAUACCAAUUGCGAAGGCAGGUUACUACUAAUGGAUUGACGCUGAUGGACGAAAGCGUGGGUAGCG
rnacentral:rRNA from 1 species